UACGUAGGGUGCAAGCGUUAUCCGGAAUUAUUGGGCGUAAAGAGCUCGUAGGCGGUUUGUCGCGUCUGCUGUGAAAACGCGAGGCUCAACCUCGCGCCUGCAGUGGGUACGGGCAGACUAGAGUGCGGUAGGGGAGAUUGGAAUUCCUGGUGUAGCGGUGGAAUGCGCAGAUAUCAGGAGGAACACCGAUGGCGAAGGCAGAUCUCUGGGCCGUAACUGACGCUGAGGAGCGAAAGCAUGGGGAGCGAACAGG
rnacentral:rRNA from 1 species